rnacentral:rRNA from 1 species
UACGAAGGGAGCUAGCGUUGUUCGGAAUUACUGGGCGUAAAGGGCUCGUAGGCGGCCAACUAAGUCAGACGUGAAAUCCCUCGGCUUAACCGGGGAACUGCGUCUGAUACUGGAUGGCUUGAAUCCGGGAGAGGGAUGCGGAAUUCCAGGUGUAGCGGUGAAAUGCGUAGAUAUCGGGAGGAACACCAGUGGCGAAGGCGACUACCUGGCCUGUUCUUGACGCUGAGGCGCGAAAGCUAGGGGAGCAAACGGG